GGAUGUGAGGGCGAUCUGGCUGCGACACCCGUCACGCCAUUGAUCACCAGAGUUGGUUCAGCUGAGCUGGCUGGCUAGGCGGGUGUUCCCUUCCUCCCUCACCACUCCAUGUAGGGUCCCUCCCGGAGCUGCGCACUCAGUCGAAAAGGACGACCACCUUGAUAGAGGAGGACCAUUUCCUCUGUCAAGGGUAUAGGAGUAGCUGCGCUCCCCUGCUAGAACUUCCACACAAGCUCUCAAGACUCCAGAGCCUAUGUUUUCCCCUUCUUAACUGUGUGGGCUCUGUGAAGUCACUUGAACUGUGAGCUUGGGUGUGUGU
rfam:Heterocephalus glaber contig116659, whole genome shotgun sequence.